GUAGUCCACGCCGUAAACGUUGGGCGCUAGGUGUGGGGGCCAUUCCACGGUCUCCGUGCCGCAGCUAACGCAUUAAGCGCCCCGCCUGGGGAGUACGGCCGCAAGGCUAAAACUCAAAGGAAUUGACGGGGGCCCGCACAAGCGGCGGAGCAUGUUGCUUAAUUCGAUGCAACGCGAAGAACCUUACCUAGGCUUGACAUGCACGGAAAUCUCGCAGAGAUGCGGGGUGCCUUUGGCGUCGUGCACAGGUGGUGCAUGGUUGUCGUCAGCUCGUGUCGUGAGAUGUUGGGUUAAGUCCCGCAACGAGCGCAACCCUCGUUCCAUGUUGCCAGCACGUAAUGGUGGGGACUCAUGGGAGACUGCCGGGGUCAACUCGGA
rnacentral:rRNA from 1 species